rnacentral:lncRNA from 1 species
GUUGACAAAGAGAGGUUUAUGGUACAAGGCAAGACACAACAUCUAUUUCAAGAAAAGGUGUCACUCUGCCUGUGGGACUCUGCUAAUCGAAUUCUCCUGGAGCAAAAGAAGAAAUCUGUUCAGUGGUUCAAGAAGUUGACUGCACUUUGGACGGUACUGACAAGCACACCUCUGGCCUCCUCCAGAAGAUGCCACACAGCUGGACUUUGUUUUCUGUGAAUAUGCUUCCAAGGACCUUAGGAUUAUAGGGAUUUUCUUUGCUUUCUGAACCCCAGGCAUCUUUAGCAAUUUGCCUCAUGUCCUCACUUGUCCUUGAAGGCUUGCUUAUUUGGAGAUGAACUUCUAAAAAGACUAGAAGUCAUUGCUUUGUAUCCAAGUCACCUAAAGUUUUGGUGUCACUGAUAUUACGCUAUUCAAAACUGAGCCAGUGGUCCCCUAAACAGGCCCCUAACCUGAUGCCCAGGUGAGAAUAUCACCUAGUUAAGGACCAGGCUAUUUCCAUAGCUUUAGUGUUUUGGGAAACCAGCAGUGGGAAUCUCAGAGAGAGACAGGAAGGAUAUAAACAUGACCGGGAUGAAAAUUUGAGUUUCCAGACACUCGGAAGUGUUUGACUUUCCUGAUUUUCAAGUGAGACAAUCGGUAUAUGAAAAGACCUCAAUGCCGUGGUGGCUGGAGACUGUCAAACAUUUUCUUUUUUAAUACUGUGUGUGGAAUCCACUGCCUCAGUCCUCAGUAUUAUUUAUGAACUCCAAAUUUACCCCCAGAAAGUCUUUUUUUUUUUUUCCAAAAGAGUGGUGGAAAUGCCAUCCCAAUUCAGGCACUUUCACAGGGGCUUUUUUCAAAAAGUACAUCUCUAUAAAUGAAAUGAGAAAGGACAGGGAUGUUGGAAUGAAGGUGGCAGGACCCUUGGGUUGCAGUGCCUGGGUUGUGGCCAUUUCACUGGACACAUAAUACCGCAUGUUACACCAUUGUCUCAAAGGAUGAUCUGUAGGAGGCAAUGCCAUGCCAUACCAUGAUGUCUGCCAGACAACAACCUAGCAAUGAAUGGAAAACUUCCAGAAGAAAGAGUUCAAGCUCGCUCAAAGUCUCCCCAGGGAUUUGUUCCCAGCCUCUAACAACCUCAGCUUUGUUAUCCCUGUAGGAAAAUUGUGACUAGUGGCUUGCUUCAUUAUCAUAGAUGCAGGGAGAUACAAUUUCAUAGAUUCAUAGAUGUUCAGAGCAAGAAGAGCCCUUGAUCACCAAGAACAACCACCACUCUUCUUAGAUCAGGAAGCAGAGGCUCAGAAUAAAGGGAAUCAUGUAGUCACUCAGUGGCUAAAUGAGUGACUGGGUGGCAGAGUGAAUAAAGAAAGUAGGUCUUCUAACUUCUGGUCCAGAUAUUGGAGAUUAAAAACUCCAGUAAAAUAGCAACCGAGAAGAAAACAUUGUGGGUCAGUCCAGGAGGUGAACGAGGACUUCCUGGCCCACUCAAGAAACUGCUGAACCAGACACAUUGGUUGGAACUUACUCUCAUCUCUGGAAUAUGAUUGAUCUCAUGCCUUGAAAGGCAAUGUUCCUUCUCCCAAAAUCCUGCUGACCUCAAAAGGUCUGGCACAAACCACUGCUGCCACAGUUAAGAAAAGGAAUAAAGAAGAACCUCAUGGCCAUGCAAGCACUCCCCUCCAUCUCUCGGACCUCUACUGCUUCGUCCCCUCCUGGUCCUGCCAAACCUGGACCAGUUCAGCUCUUUGGCCCAUCACGUGGACUCAUUCAACUCCAGAGCCAUGCCUCAGGGGGGUAUCCUCAUCUAUAAGCCAAUUUACCUGGAUUUUGCCUUGAAAAAAUAGUUUAUGGAUUUGAUUUUAAGAAAUGGGAUGUGAUUUCUUUGGGUAUUGACAUGACCCCAGGUUGGUAGUUCUACUAUGGUGUCCCUUCACAGUGGGAUCUCUGAAUCUCACCUGGGGAUAGCCUUGUUUCUCCUGCUUUGUCUCAGAGAAUGCCCAUCUUGCUUGGUUCACAACUGGUACUCUAGGGUUGUCACCAAAAGCUGUGGAGAAGCAGACAGGAUUCAACUUAAGACAUCCUAUGUUUGUGUAACUGGGAAGUUAUUUUAGAAAGUAAGCAGGCCUCUGUUGGCUCAAAUGAGGAUUAACAUAGUUGUUUUCCACUUACGCUGUGCUUGGGAUAGAAUCACCAGAAUUUGGCAGGGCUCCCCAGUUGCCCUUGCUAAACCCCAUAGAAGGGUGUUCAGGUCUUCUCAGUCAGACUGAACCAGAAAUUCUAAAGCAAAGUCAGAAGGAUGGCAGUAAUUUUAGACUGUCAUUCUACCUGUCUUCUUAGCCUCUAAAUAGCCCUGUUCUGGGGAAAUAAGUAAAAAAUGGGCUCUAUUUAAGAAUAACCUGAGUGUGACAUAUAAUUAAGCAGUCAAAAGCCUGACCUAGUGCUUAGGAAUAUAUUUGUAAUUCCUCUUAGAUUUGCCAUCAGACUAUAGCCUGAUGCCUAAGAGGAGUGAAAACUGGGAACAUGUUUUCUUCACUAUCCCGCUCUGCCCAUAAGACAGGCCUGGGAAGGGGAGAGAAAUUUAUCCUAAGCUGUCAUUGUGAGUUGCAUGUGAUGUGAUGGUCCUCUCUCUCAACUUCCCGGCAGUCCUCACCGUAAUCCCGUGUGGGCGGUGUUAAGGUCUCCAUUGUAUAGUUGGGGAAACUGAACCUGACCCGGGCAAUACCUUGCCAAAGGCCAUGCAUUCCAGAAGUGGAGCUGUAACCAAAGCUCGUGUAUCUUCAAAGAUUAUUCUCCCCCUAUUGCAUCUUCCAGGUCAAUGGAAAUGCCCCCACAUCAGGCCCUGUGGUCCUCCACCAUGCCUUGCCCUCCUAUGCCCAAUGGACUUAAUAGUAAAACAAUCAGACCCAUUGGCUUCCCAGAGAGAAGCAUGAUUCCUGUGUCAGCUGCUCCAUGCGGCUAUUCAGUGGGUCCUACCUGUACCUUUGAGUGACUUCACAAUCCAGCUGUCAGUGGCAGAAAAUGAUGCCACAUAAGUUUUUCACCUUGUUCAUGGUGGAAUCCAUUAGCUCUUGGAGCUUCGUGUGGCUGCAGAUAAUCCCACAAGCGCCCCUUGUGCUUCUCUCUGCACCCCCCCACACACCCAAACAUAUCCAAGAUCUCCUGUCAUUGAUUUAUCCAAACAAAUUUAAUUGUCCUUCCUGAUUCUGGUCUUUUGUCUCUAGAUUGUACCUUUAUUUCAGGCCUUGGAAAUCCUGCAGAGAUGGUAUGUCUGUCGGCAGAAACAUUCUUUGGGAGGCCAAACGCUCACAACAGUUGUGUUUCUCUUCCUCAAUAUUAAAAAGAUCACAGUUCCCCAGUGAAAGUCAACUAAUCUGGUAACUGGGCCCGAUUUCCUCUCUGAAUACUUUUCCAAGGGAAGGGAGAGCAGCUCCACCCUCCAUGUUCCCGUGAGGGUUAAGAAUUCACACGGGAGGACCACUUCCGACACGGGAGGAUCACUUCUAAGAUGGGUGGCAGCCAUGUUCCAAGCAUCAGAGAUCUCACAGUUGGAGACACAAGGCAGGCUCUGCCCCACCUUAAAAAUCACCUUAGAAGGAUGGGCCUACUUCAUCAGAUCUGUCAAUCAUUUCCUGUUUUAAAGAGAACAAUGCUCUCUCUAUGUUGCUUUCAAUGGGAUAUGGCUAUUCUUCUUUUCCUUUUUCUUUUUUUCUUUCUAAUGUAGCAGUGAUGGAAAACAUCCAUCUCUGCAGAACAGAUUGAGGUUUCCAGUGAUGUGAGCCCAUUGUAUUUGAUUUUGUAUUAUAUUUUCUUUAACCCCCUUUAAUGGCAUAGAAUUCUGGUGCCUUGCUCCCUGAAUUUGUCUCCAUGCUACAAGUAGGCUUUCUUCACAUUCUGGCUUACACGGGAACACGACUAUUCCACAAGUGGCCUUUAGUGCUCUUUAUAAUAUGAUUUCCUGUAAUUUUUAAACUGUAUGUGUAAUUUCUAUUCUGGCUCUGUCCAAUAUUUGAACAACUUUACUAGGUUGAUUUCCAUAUAUAUUAUGCAAACACUUCUUACCUGAUUUUUUAUGUUCUAUCUUAAAACAAAUACUGCACCACUUAUUAAUAAAUAGACAUUUCA